GUACGGGAGGCAGCAGUAAGGAAUAUUAGACAAUGGGCGCAAGCCUGAUCCAGCCAUGCCGCGUGCAGGAAGACGGUCCUAUGGAUUGUAAACUGCUUUUAUACAGGAAGAAACAACUCUACGUGUAGAGUCUUGACGGUACUGUAAGAAUAAGGAUCGGCUAACUCCGUGCCAGCAGCCGCGGUAAUACGGAGGAUCCAAGCGUUAUCCGGAAUCAUUGGGUUUAAAGGGUCCGUAGGCGGUCAAGUAAGUCAGUGGUGAAAGCCCAUCGCUCAACGGUGGAACGGCCAUUGAUACUGCUUGACUUGAAUUAUUAGGAAGUAGCUAGAAUAUGUAGUGUAGCGGUGAAAUGCUUAGAGAUUACAUGGAAUACCAAUUGCGAAGGCAGGUUACUACUAAUUGAUUGACGCUGAUGGACGAAAGCGUGGGUAGCGAACAGGAUUAGAUACCCUAGUAGUCGG
rnacentral:rRNA from 1 species